CAGCAGCCACGGGAAUACGUAGGGUGCGAGCGUUAAUCGGAAUUACUGGGCGUAAAGCGUGCGCAGGCGGUUUUGUAAGACGGGCGUGAAAUCCCCGGGCUCAACCUGGGAAUGGCGCUUGUGACUGCAAAGCUAGAGUGCGGCAGAGGGGGAUGGAAUUCCGCGUGUAGCAGUGAAAUGCGUAGAUAUGCGGAGGAACACCGAUGGCGAAGGCAAUCCCCUGGGCCUGCACUGACGCUCAUGCACGAAAGCGUGGGGAGCAAACAGGAUUAGAUACCCCCGUAGUCCCUGUCUCUUAUAA
rnacentral:rRNA from 1 species